GACGAACGCUGGCGGCGUGCCUAACACAUGCAAGUCGAGCGGAGAAUGCGGACAUGUUUACAUGGAAGUGUUCUUAGCGGCGGACGGGUGAGUAACACGUGGGUAACCUGCCUCAAAGUGGGGGAUAGCCUUCCGAAAGGAAGAUUAAUACCGCAUAAGCCUACAGUACCGCAUGGUACAGCAGGAAAAGGAGCAAUCCGCUUUGAGAUGGACCCGCGGCGCAUUAGCUAGUUGGUGAGGUAACGGCUCACCAAGGCCACGAUGCGUAGCCGACCUGAGAGGGUGAUCGGCCACAUUGGAACUGAGACACGGUCCAGACUCCUACGGGAGGCAGCAGUGGGGAAUAUUGCACAAUGGGCGAAAGCCUGAUGCAGCAACGCCGCGUGAGUGAUGAAGG
rnacentral:rRNA from 1 species